rnacentral:snRNA from 1 species
AUACUUACCUGGCAGGGGAGAUACCAUGAUCACGAAAGUGGUUUUCCCAGGGCGAGGCUUAUCCAUUGCACUCCGGAUGUGCUGACCCCUGCGAUUUCCCCAAAUGCGGGAAACUCAACUGCAUAAUUUGUGGUAGUGGGGGACUGCGUUCGCGCUCUCCCCUU